UACGUAGGGUGCAAGCGUUAAUCGGAAUUACUGGGCGUAAAGCGUGCGCAGGCGGUGAUGUAAGACAGAUGUGAAAUCCCCGGGCUCAACCUGGGAACUGCAUUUGUGACUGCAUCGCUGGAGUGCGGCAGAGGGGGAUGGAAUUCCGCGUGUAGCAGUGAAAUGCGUAGAUAUGCGGAGGAACACCGAUGGCGAAGGCAAUCCCCUGGGCCUGCACUGACGCUGAGGAGCGAAAGCGUGGGGAGCAAACAGG
rnacentral:rRNA from 1 species